CAUGAUCUUCUAGACACACCUCUGUCUCACAGCUCACAUAACUUUCCAUUGUAGUAUUUUUUAUUAUUUUUUUGUGUCUUGUCUAGCUAGCUAUUUAUAAAUAACUAUUGCAAAUGCCCUCAACUGACAUGUAGAUGUGAAUAUGCAUGCUAGUAGCUAACCCGAUCGGCCAAAGCAACAACGUGACAAAGGCAACUUGGUGUGGCGCAGAAAAUAGAAGAGUGCAAAAGAGGGAGAAAAGAGCAAGGAGCAGCAGGCCUAGACGUUAGGUAGACACGGCAAGGAUGCCUGCGGCCUUAGACAUAUGUGGCUAGGCCUGGUGGGCUGGUCCAGCCAACAACAAACAUAGCUGGCAGCUUGCCCACUCUGUUGUCA
rnacentral:lncRNA from 1 species